UAAUGUAGGGCGGGAAUCGAACCCACAGCGUUCCGCCUACCGGGCAGAUGCCAUGUCCACUAGGCCCCUGGACACU